GAUCGUGCAGGUACCAGGUUUUGGAGCUUGCGUCCCCAAUGUUAGCGGCGGACGGGUGAGUAACACGUGGGUAACCUGCCUGUAAGACUGGGAUAACUCCGGGAAACCGGAGCUAAUACCGGAUAGUUCCUUGAACCGCAUGGUUCAAGGAUGAAAGACGGUUUCGGCUGUCACUUACAGAUGGACCCGCGGCGCAUUAGCUAGUUGGUGGGGUAAUGGCUCACCAAGGCGACGAUGCGUAGCCGACCUGAGAGGGUGAUCGGCCACACUGGGACUGAGACACGGCCCAGACUCCUACGGGAGGCAGCAGUAGGGAAUCUUCCGCAAUGGACGAAAGUCUGACGGAGCAACGCCGCGUGAGUGAUGAAGGUUUUCGGAUCGUAAAGCUCUGUUGUUAGGGAAGAACAAGUGCGAGAGUAACUGCUCGCACCUUGACGGUACCUAACCAGAAAGCCACGGCUAACUACGUGCCAGCAGCCGCGGUAAUACGUAGGUGGCAAGCGUUGUCCGGAAUUAUUGGGCGUAAAGGGCUCGCAGGCGGUUUCUUAAGUCUGAUGUGAAAGCCCCCGGCUCAACCGGGGAGGGUCAUUGGAAACUGGGAAACUUGAGUGCAGAAGAGGAGAGUGGAAUUCCACGUGUAGCGGUGAAAUGCGUAGAGAUGUGGAGGAACACCAGUGGCGAAGGCGACUCUCUGGUCUGUAACUGACGCUGAGGAGCGAAAGCGUGGGGAGCGAACAGGAUUAGAUACCCUGGUAGUCCACGCCGUAACGAUGAGUGCUAAGUGUUAGGGGGUUUCCGCCCCUUAGUGCUGCAGCUAACGCAUUAAGCACUCCGCCUGGGGGAGUACGGUCGCAAGACUGAAACUCAAAGGAAUUGACGGGGGGCCCGCACAAGUCGGUGGGAGCAUGUGGUUUAAUUCGAAGCAACGCGAAGANCUUACCAGGUCUUGACAUUCCUCUGACAACCCUAGAGAUAGGGCUUUCCCUUCGGGGACAGAGUGACAGUGGUGCAUGGGUUGUCGUCAGCCUC
rnacentral:rRNA from 1 species